CACGUAGGGCGCGAGCGUUGUCCGGAAUUAUUGGGCGUAAAGAGCUCGUAGGCGGCCUGUUGCGUCCGCUGUGAAAGCCCGGGCUUAACCCGGGUCGGCAGUGGAUACGGGCAGGCUAGAGGUAGGUAGGGAGAAUGGAAUUCCCGGUGUAGCGGUGAAAUGCGCAGAUAUCGGGAGGAACACCGGUGGCGAAGGCGGUCUGCUGGGCAGUUGCUGACGCUGAUGCGCGACAGCGUGGGAGCAAACAGG
rnacentral:rRNA from 1 species